UACGGGGGGAGCAAGCGUUGUUCGGAUUUACUGGGCGUAAAGGGCUCGUAGGCGGCCAACUAAGUCAGACGUGAAAUCCCCAGGCUCAACCUGGGAACUGCGUCUGAUACUGGAUGGCUUGAAUCCGGGAGAGGGAUGCAGAAUUCCAGGUGUAGCGGUGAAAUGCUUAGAUAUCGUCAAGAACACCAAUAGUGAAGACAGCUUACUAGGCUUAAACUGACGCUGAGGCACGAAAGUGUGGGGAUCAAACAGG
rnacentral:rRNA from 1 species